UAGGGAAUCUUCGGCAAUGGGGGGAACCCUGACCGAGCAACGCCGCGUGAGUGAAGAAGGUUUUCGGAUCGUAAAGCUCUGUUGUUAAGGAAGAACGAGUGUGAGAAUGGAAAGUUCAUACUGUGACGGUACUUAACCAGAAAGGGACGGCUAACUACGUGCCAGCAGCCGCGGUAAUACGUAGGUCCCGAGCGUUGUCCGGAUUUAUUGGGCGUAAAGCGAGCGCAGGCGGUCAAUUAAGUCUGAUGUGAAAGCCCCCGGCUCAACCGGGGAGGGUCAUUGGAAACUGGUUGACUUGAGUGCAGAAGGGGAGAGUGGAAUUCCAUGUGUAGCGGUGAAAUGCGUAGAUAUAUGGAGGAACACCGGUGGCGAAAGCGGCUCUCUGGUCUGUAACUGACGCUGAGGCUCGAAAGCGUGGGGAGCGAACAGG
rnacentral:rRNA from 1 species